rnacentral:lncRNA from 1 species
AGGAAAGGAUGCCUAGCAGGCCUGUUUGUUUCUUGUUUAGUUCAGUAACACUUAUUUGAACUUACCACUCAAAGAAAGAGGGAGAAGAGGGUUGUUGUAAUGCUGAGCUGUCCUGCAGUAGUGGAUGCUGUGUUUGAAAUGGUAUUGAGAAAGGCUGGUUUUGAGUUUAAGGCACAGGAUUAGGAUCCCAAGCCAGCAAGGAUUAUGCACACAAACAAAGGCUGCAGGAUCUGGCCCAGGAGUCAGGACAUCUGCAUUCUGGGAUAAAGACUUCUUGGAUCCUGCUGCUACCCACAGACUUCUUCACCCAUUUGCAAAUCAAGA